rnacentral:rRNA from 1 species
CCUGGUUGAUCCUGCCAGUAGUCAUAUGCUUGUCUCAAAGAUUAAGCCAUGCAUGUCUAAGUAUAAGCAAUUUAUACAGUGAAACUGCGAAUGGCUCAUUAAAUCAGUUAUCGUUUAUUUGAUAGUACCUUUACUACUUGGAUAACCGUGGUAAUUCUAGAGCUAAUACAUGCUAAAAAUCCCGACUGUUUGGAAGGGAUGUAUUUAUUAGAUAAAAAAUCAAUGCUUUUCGGAGCUCUUUGAUGAUUCAUAAUAACUUUUCGAAUCGCAUGGCCUUGUGCUGGCGAUGGUUCAUUCAAAUUUCUGCCCUAUCAACUUUCGAUGGUAGGAUAGUGGCCUACCAUGGUUUCAACGGGUAACGGGGAAUAAGGGUUCGAUUCCGGAGAGGGAGCCUGAGAAACGGCUACCACAUCCAAGGAAGGCAGCAGGCGCGCAAAUUACCCACUCCCAGCUUGGGGAGGUAGUGACGAAAAAUAACGAGACGAUUCUCGUUUGAGAAACGUUAUCGAAAUGAGUACGCUUUACACACGCUAACGAGUAGCAAUUGGAGGGCAAGUCUGGUGCCAGCAGCCGCGGUAAUUCCAGCUCCAAUAGCGUAUAUUAAAGUUGCUGCGGUUAAAACGCUCGUAGUUGAAUUGUGGUCUUAGACAACAGUCCCCCUAUAUAGGUGUGGCACGGUUGCUCGAGAUCUUCAUUCGUGGUUGCUGUUGUUGCUCUUCAUUGAGUGUCAAUGGUGCCUCGAGAUUUUACUUUGAAAAAAUUAGAGUGCUCAAAGCAGGUUGUGAUGCCUGAAUAAUGGUGCAUGGAAUAAUAGAAUACGAUCUCGGUUCUAUUUUGUUGGUUUUCGAACCGGAGAUAAUGAUUGAAAGGAACAGACGGGGGCAUUCGUAUUGCUGCGUUAGAGGUGAAAUUCUUGGAUCGCAGCAAGAUGAACAAUUGCGAAAGCAUUUGCCAAGAAUGUUUUCAUUAAUCAAGAACGAAAGUUAGAGGUUCGAAGGCGAUCAGAUACCGCCCUAGUUCUAACGGUAAACUAUGCCAACCAGCGAUUCGCCGAAGUUCAUUUAAGACUCGGCGAGCAGCUUCCGGGAAACCAAAGUGUUUCGGUUCCGGGGGAAGUAUGGUUGCAAAGCUGAAACUUAAAGGAAUUGACGGAAGGGCACCACCAGGAGUGGAGCCUGCGGCUUAAUUUGACCCAACACGGGAAAACUCACCCGGCCCGGACACUGAAAGGAUUGACAGAUUGACAGCUCUUUCUUGAUUCAGUGGGUAGUGGUGCAUGGCCGUUCUUAGUUGGUGGAGCGAUUUGUCUGGUUAAUUCCGAUAACGAACGAGACUCUACCCUAUUAAAUAGUGACAGUAUUGCAUAUUCUGUGCUGAUCACUUCUUAGAGGGACUGGCAAAUUGAAAGCUGCACGAAAAAGAGCAAUAACAGGUCUGUGAUGCCCUUCGAUGUCCGGGGCUGCACGCGCGCUACAAUGAAAGCGUCAACGUGAGUUACGUCCUUACCUGAAAAGGUUUGGCAAUCGAUUGAAACGUUUUCUUGAAUGGAAUAGGGAAUUGCAAUUGUUUCCCUUGAACGAGGAAUUCCCAGUAAGCGUGAGUCAUUAGCUCGCGUUGAUUACGUCCCUGCCCUUUGUACACACCGCCCGUCGCUACUACCGAUUGGAUGAUUUAGUGAGGUGUUUUGACUAGCGCCUGUAGUCGGAUGUAUAUUCGGCUUCGCGCCGGGAAAUUUCCCAAACCAAAUCAUCUAGAGGAAGUAAAAGUCGUAACAAGGUUUCCGUAGGUGAACCUGCGGAAGGAUCA